GGCGAUUUCACAAUCUCGCGUGUGCCAGUCUUCAACCGUCUGGUGGACAUCAAAAUCUGCUGCGUGUUCUGAACAUUAUUAUACGAAUUUGAAGGCUAAAUGCAUAAGCAUGUGAAGAGAUAAGUGGUCUCAGAACACACUAAGGCCUUAUUAAACGGUGGAGAGAUUUAGCUAUUUUAAGCAUUAUGCCGUCAUCAAAUUUAUCAAAGUAGGAAAUGAGAAAAAUAUACAUAGCUGUCACCGUGUCAAGAACUUUGGACCUUCCAAUAUUUGCCGGACGUAUUUUUCAGUUAUACCAGAAAAACCUUACAUUCAUACACCUUACAUACAAGGGCGAUUGGAGAAGCAGAAUUCAAUUGCUAACCUUGAUGGAAAGAAAUUAUCGUCCACCAUCUUUUAGGUCGGGCUCCACCAGCGAUUAUUGGUCACCUCAUUGAAAGAAUGGUCAAAAGCUGUAAAGUUUCCAUGAAGGUCUGACGUUUUCACAUACUUUACUAAUGAAAGUUUUCUUUGUUUUUAG